GCUGAUUAUGAGGUGCUGCACACGGGUAAGCAUUGAUGUUGUGGGAGGUGUGGGUUGUGGGGGUUGAGGUGGGGCUUAGGGUGGGGCGGGAGGUGGCAUGUGUGGAGGGAGAGGAUGGAGGGCAUUGUAUUCGCAACAUAGCUGUGGCAUGAGCUGCGAAGCAAAAGUAUAGUGUCUCCAGAUUAGGGUUGCAUAAAUGGCGUGCGACAGCUAUAUGGUAUUUAGGGUUUAGUCUCCAUCUGUGUCACUUGUUGUUUUUGCUUGUCAGGUCCAUACAUCCAGCGAACUAAUGUACCUAAUCUUCACACCACAAAAGCACAUACACAUACACAUACACAUACACAUACACAUACACAUACACAUACACAUACAC
rnacentral:lncRNA from 1 species